rnacentral:rRNA from 1 species
GAUGAACGCUGACAGAAUGCUUAACACAUGCACGUCGACUUGAAUUUGGGUUUUUAACUUAGGUUUGGGUGGCGGACGGGUGAGUAACGCGUAAAGAACUUGCCUCACAGCUAGGGACAACAUUUGGAAACGAAUGCUAAUACCUAAUAUUAUGAUAAUAGGGCAUCCUAUAAUUAUGAAAGCUAUAAGCGCUGUGAGAGAGCUUUGCGUCCCAUUAGCUAGUUGGAGAGGUAACGGCUCACCAAGGCGAUGAUGGGUAGCCGGCCUGAGAGGGUGAUCGGCCACAAGGGGACUGAGACACGGCCCUUACUCCUACGGGAGGCAGCAGUGGGGAAUAUUGGACAAUGGACCGAGAGUCUGAUCCAGCAAUUCUGUGUGCACGAUGAAGUUUUUCGGAAUGUAAAGUGCUUUCAGUUGGGAAGAAACAAAUGACGGUACCAACAGAAGAAGUGACGGCUAAAUACGUG